GACAGUCUUGAGGCAACUGCGCUGGGCGCCCCCCUCCUAAGGGGAAGGUCGCCCGUUCGAAUCGGGCCGGGGUCACCA
rnacentral:tRNA from 1 species